UGUAGUGAUUAUUCCUCUGCAAACACUUUAGAAUUUGUCUGAGCACUUCUUGUGAUUAUGGCAUCUGCUAAUUACCGUUGAAUGUAUGGAAGAGAUAGGUGGUCAAGAAGUUAGAAAUGACAAUAGAUGUUGUCAGGAUCAAACACUUACUCCCCGUCAAAAGUUAUAGCUAGUGGGGAAGGUGCAACUUUAUUUCUUUAUAUUCAAGCACGCCAUGUUCUGAAUCUAGGCUUGGUGGCAAUGCCCUCGAGGCCUCAGCCUAACACAUGCUUGUUUCUUGAGUUAUUAGCAAUUCCACAUGAAAUGCCAUACAGAUUAUUAUGCUAACAGACUGAGAUUUUGGUUGCAGAGAUAAGUUUCUCCAAAUUUUUUAAGAGUGGCCUAGUUGAAUAGAGAUCUUCAAGAUUGAACUUCCCGAAAGACUAUAAAUGCAUACACUCUAGAUUGAAAGACAGAGGAAACACCUGAAUUAUAUGCUGAAACUUCUUUACAAAAUUUAUUUAUUUCUCUGAUAGCUCAAAAACAAUAAAUUCAGUUGACUAUGGUUUUUUUUUUUUUUUUAAAUAAUGUUCGCUAACAUGUUGUUCUCGCUUGUUGGAAGAUGAGGCAGCUGACCUACCUGCAUAAGCCUGGAAGGCUGGAAAGGAGAGUGGGUUACUAACUGCUUCAACAAACAACAGGCUGGAAUGUCUUGAACAUCUUCUCUUGCUAAAAUUUGCGACUUUUUUUGGCCAACUCUGCAUUUCUCUUAUGAAAACUUACUCUUACACAUUCUAAUAUGCUGCAUAUGAAACUGAUGACAUCAAAAAACACGAGAUUUUUGCACAUGCAAUGGUUAAACCGUGACAUUUUAUGAACUGUACUGACAGUGUUGGUUCGAUUGCUUGAUUCACAGCAUUUGAACUGGAGAUUCAGCGGGUAGAUAUGCCAAGCGGGAUUUCUGUUCUGUUAUUCCAUGGACAUCAUCGACAGUUACCAUCACCUUGGUUGUUGCAAUGGGGACCUUUGCAUGGUAGUGUUAAUUUUAGGGUUUGCAGACCCCAAAUUCGAGUGCCCCACCUAUUCUUUACCCUAGAGUCUCGCUGUCUCGGUGAAGGAUGUAAACACGGGAUAUGCCUCAACAUCAUCAGGCUCCCCAAAGCGUCCGCCCACUCGCUCAGUUGGUCACAGGGGUGAAAUUUGAGAAGAAAGAUCAGGGAUCGAGUCUUUUACCAUUGAACAGUCAUCCAUGACACACAAUGUUUACUUCAAAAGAGAUAAGUUUGAAUUGAUUUUCCAUCAUUUUUGGCAGUAUUGACACUUAAAUUGUUCUCCCCCACAUUGGCAUAUUAUCUGUUAAGACUGGACAAGAGAGGUUGCUUGCUUGCAUGAUUUUCUGCCUGUAAAUGGUGGCCAAAUCCUUUGUUUUGAUUGUAUCUUUAAAACUCUCUCUCUCCUGGGCUCCAUCUGGGGAUAAUUCUUUGGAAGCUUUUUAAACAAAUGGACAACAAUUCCUUAGCUGGGGAGAUUUUGAUUAAA